AAGGAGCCAAGGUGCUUCCCAAGCUGCUGCUACACCACCACCAAAGUCUCCAGCAAAAGGAAAGAAGAAGAAGUUGACUCCAAAGAAGAAGAAACUAAGUGAGCUGUGAACUUGUGUGUGGCUGUUUGAACUCCUUUAUUUGUUGUCUAUGUGAGGUGCAAACUUGUACUGUGAGGUGCAAAGUCACUGUUAUUUUGCUACCAUGAACUACUUCUGAACCUUGUUGAACUUGUACUGUGAGGUGCAAAGUCACUGUUAUUUUGCUACUA